CUUUCAACAACGGAUCUCUUGGUUCUGGCAUCGAUGAAGAACGCAGCGAAAUGCGAUAAGUAAUGUGAAUUGCAGAAUUCAGUGAAUCAUCGAAUCUUUGAACGCACAUUGCGCCCCUCGGUAUUCCGGGGGGCAUGCCUGUUCGAGCGUCG
rnacentral:rRNA from 1 species